rnacentral:rRNA from 1 species
UGGGGAAUUUUGCACAAUGGGGGAAACCCUGAUGCAGCGACGCCGCGUGAUUUAGAAGGCCUUCGGGUUGUAAAAAUCUUUUGUAUAGGAAGAAAAUGACAGUACUAUACGAAUAAGGACCGGCUAACUACGUGCCAGCAGCCGCGGUAAUACGUAGGUGGCAAGCGUUGUCCGGAUUUAUUGGGCGUAAAGCGAGCGCAGGCGGUCAAUUAAGUCUGAUGUGAAAGCCCCCGGCUCAACCGGGGAGGGUCAUUGGAAACUGGUUGACUUGAGUGCAGAAGAGGAGAGUGGAAUUCCAUGUGUAGCGGUGAAAUGCGCAGAUAUAUGGAGAAACACCAGUGGCGGAGGCGACUCUCUGGUCUGUAACUGACGCUGAGGCUCGAAAGCGUGGGUAGCAAACAGG